UACGGAGGGUGCAAGCGUUAUCCGGAUUCACUGGGUUUAAAGGGUGUGUAGGCGGGCUGUUAAGUCAGUGGUGAAAUCUCCGGGCUCAACCCGGAAACUGCCGUUGAUACUAUCAGUCUUGAAUCUUGUUGAGGUAGGCGGAAUAUGUCAUGUAGCGGUGAAAUGCUUAGAUAUGACAUAGAACACCGAUUGCGAAGGCAGCUUACUAAACAAGCAUUGACGCUGAGGCACGAAAGCGUGGGGAUCAAACAGG
rnacentral:misc_RNA from 1 species